AGAAAAUUCUCAGCUCAAGAUUUUCUCAGAACUGUCUGAGAAUUGUCUCAGCUGAGAAAUUUCUCAAGUUGGCUUUCACUAAACUUUUUCUCAAGUCUUGAGAUUUUUCUUUUUUUAAGACAUAAGCGGCCAAACAUCCAAGGAGCCGCGUGAACUUUCCCACGAACACAUGUGCAUAGUUGGGGGCAGUGGAUUUAUUCAUUUAUUGAGACGAAAUGAAGCGUUGAGAAAUGUUCAUAAACAACAUGUACAGUUUCGGGAUACACCCAAAUUGUAUGUUUGUACACUGUUGUACAAAGGUAUGGCAGUGUAUUUUAAAUAUUAUAAUUAAUCAGCUUCAAACCUGUCACUUUUGAACCAAUCAAACACACAGUCGAGGGUACUACGUCAUAUUGCAUGUGUUUUCUUUACCAAAUAUGGGAUUACGUAAACACAGCCAUAUGUUGUUACACUACGUGUGACAAUUUAUGUUAUCGGGCAUAUAUUUAUUGGAAUCAAGAUAUGCAGACGUCACAGCCUGUGGAUGAAGAUCCUUGCAGCUUAUUAUACAGAGGUCAGGCUUGAGCUAUGUGCUGAUUCAAAAGAUGCUAAUGACAGUGGAUAAUCCAUUCUGAGUUGUUCUGGGACCAUUCACCAACGUUUCAAAACACUGAUGGAACUGAAGGCAGUACAUGUACUGGUGUCUGGCCUGUGAUUUCAAGUAUAGACUAUAAUUGAUGUACCUCCUCCUGAUUUAUCUCCUUGAAUACAAUAUAUCUGCCAUGUGAAAGGAACAAGCUGCAAGAUAUACUGUGGAAGUGGGGGCCUAUGUAAAAAAAACAUUUUAUUUAAAGAAUAUAAGAAAUCUGACACUAAACUACUGAAAAGGUGCACAGGGGAUAUUUUUGUGUGUAUAGACUUUCAUCAAGAUUCUGAGAAAAUUGAUUUAUUAAACAAAAAUAGUCAUAUUGUGUCUUCAAAGCUGAAAAGAUUAAGAUCUUAGGAAAACAUUAGGACUCAAUAAAAGUAAUGGGGUUAUGAAACCGUAGUGUUCAACAUUUAAUUUUUUUUUGUUUUAUUUUCACUACAUUUUGUGACGAGGGUUCCAUCACAAGAUGUUACAUAUUGGUAAGAAUGAGAUGUAGUUUAUGAAAAAAAAGUAUUUUGCUUUAAAUGUGCAGACUUUAAGUUACAUAAAAAAUUAAAGCUGUAACAAUAAAGCUUGAUUAAAAAAAAACAACACACUGUUGAAAACUAGCCAACACGUUGUAAUUGUCACACUUUUUUGGGUGCACAGGGGACACAAUUAGCUAUAUAAUUUAAUACAACUUUAACUCUUAGGCCCUUGCUAAAUUUCUAUAAUGAACUUGUCCGUUUUACAAUUUGGACAGUAUUAUUAAGUGUUAAAAGGGGUGCUAACCAAAAAGAUACUGACUGAAUGGCAAACAGUGCAGAUCAAGAUCAGACUGCACAAAUGUGCAGGCUGAUCAUGAUCUACACUUGUCGCAAAGGUAGGACCAACCAUGUACAGCAUGAUAAGGGUUAAAACUGCUUGAGCCAUUCAGCAGAAAUUGCAAACAUUUGUUGACUACAUUGAUUGGAUAUAUGUAAUUUGCCCCAAAACACUUUAUAAAACUGAACUGAAUUAAAAUAAGGUGAGAGAGAAGAAAAAGCUUAAUUAUUAAAAAAAAAAAAACAAUAUAGCCAAUAGAUAUACUUUGUUGAAGGCAUUAUCUUUGUUUACAUUAAAUUUAAAUGUGGCUGCCACGUUGUUUGUUAGGAACAUAAGACACAUUAAUUUCUUGUUUUUGAACUUUAAUUAUCGCAUUUAUGUGUCAAAGAUUGGCAUGGGCGAAAAUGUUACUGAAAAUAUUAAAUCAGUUUUUAUUGAUUAACUCCUUUUUUGGCUUGUGCAGUAUAAAGUCAUGUGCAUCAUUGAAAGAAUAUGUAAUACUUUUCUAACCAACUGAUAAACAUUCUAGUUUUGGAAAGUUUGUUGCAUAAAGUUAAAGGAGGUUUUUUUCGUAUGAAAUUUACAUGGUGUAGGCCUUUAAGCUGUUUACUUUAAAAACCACCGUGUAUUUUUGAUAAUUUCUUAUGUAAUUAAGUCAUUUCUAAUGUUUUCUCUUUUAAUUGACCCUGAGUGGCAGUUCUUGUUAACUACAAAACCAUCUACUAUUAUUGGUUAACUAAUUAUUGGAAUAGUGAGCAUUUUAACAUUGUUUCAUCACAAUGCACUCCUUUAUUGGAAUAGGGAGGCAAUAGCACAUUUAACUAUUAAACUAAUUAUUAAACUAUGUCAUUUCGACUCAUUUGAAUGCAAACAGCCUUAGACACACCUGAAAAUCAGAUAAAUUUGAAAAUACAUGCAAACUUUUAAAAAUGUUUUUGGAUUUAAGUUAGAACAUUUUCUUAUUUUUAUCUUCAGUUGGUAAUCAAUUCAACUGAUUGUUUCUAUCAACAUCUGUUGUCAGGUGUGUUUCGUCCCAAUUUAAUUUUGUGACCCAUACAGUGUUUCCAGGCCCCGCUUUCACUAACGUUCUCAAAGUGAGAAAAUUCUCAGCUCAAGAUUGUCUCAGAACUGUCUGAGAAUUGUCUCAGCUGAGAAAUUUCUCAAGUUGGCUUUCUCUAAACUUUUUCUCAAGUCUUGAUAUUUUUCUCAGCUGAGCCGUAAUAUUUUAAAACAUAAGCGGCCAAACAUCCAAGGAGCCGCGUGAACUUUCCCACAAACACGAGUGCAUAGUUGGGGGCAGUGGAUUUAUUCAUUUAUUGAGACGAAACGAAGCGUUGAGAAAUGUUCAUAAACAACAUGUACAGUUUCGGGAUAUAUCCAAAUUGUAUGUUUGUACAAAGGUAUGGCAGUGUGUUUUCAAUAUUAUAAUUAAUCAGCUUCAAACCUGUCACUUUUGAAUCAAUCAAACUCACAGUCGAGGGUACUACGUCAUAUUGCAUGUGUUUUCUUUACCAAAUAUGGGAUUAGGUAAACACAGCCAUACGUUGUUACGCUACUGUACGUGUGACAAUUUUAUGUAAACUAGGGCAUAUGUUUAUGGGAAUCAGACAUGCAGCCGUCACAGCCUGCUGAUGAAGAUCCUCAGCUUAUACAAAGGUCAGGCUUGAGCUAUGUGCUGAUUCAAAAGAUGCUAAUGACAGUGGAUAAUCCAUUCUGAGCUGUUCUAGGACCAUUCACCAAGGUUCCAAAACACUGAUGGAUCUGAAGGCAGUACCUGUAUUGGUGUCUGGUCUGUGAUUUCAAGUAUAAUUGAUGUACCUCCUCCUGAUGUAUCUCCUCGAAUACAAUAUAUCUGCCAUGUGAAAGGAACAAGCUUCAAGAUAUACUGUGGAAGUGGGAGCCUAUGUAAAAAACAUUUUAUUUAAAGAAUAUAAAAAAUCUGACACUAAACUACUGAAAAGGUGCACAGGGGACAUUUUUGUGUGUAUAGACUUUCAUCAAGAUUCUGAGAAAGUUGAUUUAUCAAACAGAAAUAGUCAGAUUGUGUCUUCAAAGCUGAAAAGAUUAAGAUCUUAGGAAAACAUUUGGACUCAAGAAAAGUAUUGCGGUUAUGAAACUGUAGUGUUCAACAUUUAAAUUGUUUUUUUUUUUUUUUUUUUCACUACAUUUUGUGAAGAGGGUUCCAUCACAAGAUGCGACAUAUUGCCUGAUAUUGGUAAGAAUGAGAUGUAGUUUAUGAAAAAAAAGUAUUUUGCUUUAAAUGUGCAGACUUUAAGUUACAUAAAAAAUCAAAGCUCUAACAAUAAAGCUUGAUUAAAAAGACACACUGUUGAAAACUAGCCUUCAUGUAAAUGUCACACUUUUUUUGGGUGCACAGGGGACACAAUUAGCUAUAUAAUUUAAUGUAACUUUAACCCUUAGGCCCUUGCUAAAUUUCUAUAAUGAACUUGUACGUUUUACAAUUUGGACAGUAUUAUUAAGUGUUAAAAGGGGUGCUAACCGAAAGAUACUGACUGAAUGGCGAACAAUGCAGAUAAAGAUCAGACUGCACAGAUGUGCAGGCUUAUCAUGAUCUACACUUGUUGCAAAGGUAGGACCAACCAUGAACAGCAUGAUAAGGGUUAAAACUGCUUGAGCCAUUCAGCUGAAAUUGCAAUCAUUUGUUGACUACAUUGAUUGGAUACAUUGUGUAUAUGUAAUUUGCCCCAAAACACUUAAAACUGAACUGAAUUAAAAUAAGGUGAGAGAGAAGAAAAAGCUUAAUUAUUUAAAAAAAAAAACAACUAUAGCCGAUAGAUAUAUAUUGUUGAAGGCAUUAUCUUUGUUUACAUUAAAUUUAAAUGUGGCUGCCACGUUGUUUGUUAGGAACAUGAGACACAUUAAUUUCUUGUUUUCGAAUUUUAAUUAUCGCAUUUAUGUGUCAAAGAUUGGCAUGGGUGAAAAUGUUACUGAAUAUGUUAAAUCAGUUUUUAUUGAUUAACUCCCUUUUUGGCUUGUGCAGUAUAAAGUCAUGUGAAUCACUGAAAGUAUAUGUAGUACUUUUCUAACCAACUGAUAAACAUUCUAUUUUUGGAAAGUUUGCUGCAUAAAGUUAAAGGGUUUUUUUUUGUAUGAAAUUUACAUGGUGUAGGCCUUAAAGCUGUUUACUUUAAAAACCUCCUUGUAUCAUUUCUAAUGUUUUCUCUUUUAAUUGACCCUGAGUGGCAGUUCUUGUUCACUACAAAACCAUCUACUAUUAUUGGUUAACUAAUUAUUGGAAUAGUGAUCAUUUUAACAUUGUUUCAUCACAUUGCACUCCUUUAUGGGAAUAGGUAGGCAAUAGCACAUUUAACUAUUAAACAAGUUGUUAAACUAUGUCAUUUGAAUGAAAACAGCCUUAGACACACCUGAAAAUCAGAUAAAUUUGAAAAUACAUGCAAAUUUUUAAAAAUGUUUUUGGAUUUAAGUUUUAACAUUUUCUUUUUUUAUCUUCAGUUGGUUAUUAAUGCAACUGAUUGUUUUUAUCAACAUCUGUUGUCAGGUGUGUUUCGUCCCGAUUUAAUUUUGUGACCCAUACAGUGUUUCCAGGACUCAUCUGUAAGAGAAACACCAUCAACUUGAGUCAACAGCAUAACUUUUAACAUGUGAACAGAAGUUAAUUAUAAACAUUUUCAUAGGAAGAAUAGUGAACUGGAACAGUAAAUGAAAAUUUAAAAGAAAUGAAAAUGAUAACCUGUACACUUUGGCAUUUCAUAGUUCUUUUUAAAAAAUCAAAUUUAUCUGAGAAGACAAUGACAGUGAAAUAUAAAAUUUUACUUAAAAUUAUUGUUGUAAAUCAUACUGAAAUCUAACAACUUACUGGUAAUAUAAAUUUUAUCAAUAGCAUAGAGUAAAGAUUUUCUGAUAUUUUUGGAAAGAUUUGAAAAACAUUGUACUUUAAAUGUUCAACCAAUAUUUUAGAUCAAAUUAUGAAAUGCCAUAUUUAUUUAUAAAUGAAUAAAACUGUUGUCAACUUAUAAAAAUUUCUGUUAACUUUAAUAAAUUAUUAGAUCUAGAACUUAAA